GAAGAAUUAGGACUAAUAAAAGGAAACACUUCUUCCCACAACGUAAAUGAUGAGUGGUUAAAGAAAUGGAAUAUUACAAAUAUGUAUAAAAAACUAAAUACACCUCAACAGCCAUCCUAUUUCUCCAAUAGAUAUAAAAAUUUACAUAUAUUGAUUAUAUAUUAACAAAAAAUUGAACAAUUUAAAGAGUAUGGAAAAACACCCAAAGAGUGGGUAUCCAACCACGCCCCGAUAGUUGCCCAGUUCAGGAUGGAAGGAGAGGUGAAACAGUUUAGAUGGAGAUAUAAUAAUAUGAUAAUGAAGAAUGAAAAGGAAAGAAAGGGAUUACAAGAGAAAAUAAGAUACUACUUUUUAGAGAACAAGGGUAUGGUACCAGAUGAGACUCUUUGGGAUGCAUCAAAAGCUGUGGUAAGGUGGUAUUGUUUAUGGAGGCUAGGUGGAAAAAAGCUAUCAACAGAGAAAGGAAUGAUCUAGUGGAAGAGAUUAGAGUGAAGCAGAAUGAACUCCAGGUUAAAUAUGAUAUAAUAGUAAAAAUGAAUUAAAUAAAUUAAAAGCACUGUUAGAGGAUUUAGAUAAAGCAGAGUUAUGGAAAAAGAUUUGGGUUAAAAACCAAUUUCAAAUAGCAAAUAUGAAUUCAAUGAAAUGCUUGGCUAAUUAUCUAAAGAAGAGGAAAGAAAAACAAGGUAAAAUUCACUAGAGAUGAUAGAAAUGCGAGGGUAACAGAUAAUAAGACAGAAAUUUGAAGAGUUUUGAAAUAAUGUCUCGAAACCAAGUAUGGCAAGACAGACAGAUUGAGUUGAUGAAGAUUUGGACUGACUUCACGGACUGGAUGAGAGAAAUCGGAGUUACAGAAGAAAGAUGGAUGAAGAGGCUAGAAAGGAUGAACCUGCUGCUGCUUACUUAACAAAUGAUGAAGAAACAACUGGGGGGGAAGGGGGAAAAUGUAUAGGUUGGAUAAAAUAUAAAGCUUUGUAUAUAUAUGUAAGGAACCGGUCCGAAUAUACCAAUAAAAAUUAAAAAAAAAUUAAAGAGUUUUAUCAAAAGCUCUUCAAAUAUUAAAAGAACGUAAAGAUAGAUGUGAAAUCGAAAAAAAAGGUCUGUCCCAGGAAGAAAAAGACUGUAUGGAAGAGUUAAUAGCCCAGGAAGAAAUAGCAUUAGUAAUUAAAGAAUUGAAAAAUAAUAAAUCUUCGGAAAUGGAUGGGUUUACUGCAGAAUAUUAUAAGGAAAUGGCAGAGGUGUUAGUCCCUGAACUGCAAAUAUUAUUUAACAAUAUUUUAAAAGGACAGAAAAUUCCCAAGUCAUGGAGGGAGGCGGAAAGUAUAACAAUUUGAAACCAGGACGCAAUCCAGACCAGGUGGAUUUAUAUAGUCCAAUAUGUUUGUUGAAUCAAGAUUAUAAUUUUUUUGGCAAAGAUUCUUACAAAUAGGUUAAAAAUAUAUUACCAAAGUUAAUAGAACAAGAUCAAUAUGGGUUUGUUAGAGAAAAUAUAUUAGCCAUCCAUUAAAAAUUGUCCUAAAUGUAAUAGAGCAUGGGAAAAACAAAAAAUACGCAAUAAUAAAGUUGGAUGUGUAUAAAGCUU